rnacentral:rRNA from 1 species
UCAAUGUUGCAGGAGGAUGGGGGUAUUGAUGAAGAUGUGAACCAUCGAAUCAAAGCCAGAUGGAUGAAGUGGCACCAAGCUUCUGGCAUUCUCUGUGACAAGAGAGUGCCACAAAAGCUAAAAGGCAAGUUCUACAGGACGGCAGUUCGACCCGCAAUGUUGUAUGGCGCGGAGUGUUGGCCGACUAAAAGGCGACAUGUUCAACAGUUAGGUGUGGCGGAGAUGCGUAUGUUGAGAUGGAUGUGUGGCCACACGAGGAAGGAUCGAGUCCGGAAUGAUGAUAUACGUGAUAGAGUUGGGGUAGCACCAAUUGAGGAGAAGCUUGUCCAACAUCGUCUGAGAUGGUUUGGGCAUAUUCAGCGUAGGCCUCCAGAAGCUCCAGUGCAUAGCGGAUGGCUAAAGCGUGCGGAGAAUGUCAAGAGAGGGUGGGGUAGACCGAAUUUGACAUGGGAGGAGUCCGUUAAGAGAGACCUGAAGGAUUGGAGUAUCACCAAAGAG